GGUUGAUAGGAAUGAACAGGUGGAUAUAUGUUCACAGGUAACCUAUCUUGCACCCAUUUCUGUACUUCCUCCAUAGUUUUACCCAACUCUACAACCUGCUGCCGAGUAAUUCCUUCACCCAACUGAUUCAAGUCCCCCCUUAGAUUACUGAGUAUGGGAGGUGGACGCCCAUACACGAUUUCAAAGGGAGACAGACCCAUUCUUCUGGUAGGAGUACUACGUAUCCGCAACAGAGCUAUUGGCAAAAGGACAUUCC